rnacentral:rRNA from 1 species
AUUGAACGCUGGCGGCAUGCCUUACACAUGCAAGUCGAACGGUAACGCGGGGCAACCUGGCGACGAGUGGCGAACGGGUGAGUAAUGCAUCGGAACGUGCCCAGUAGUGGGGGAUAGCCCGGCGAAAGCCGGAUUAAUACCGCAUACGACCUAAGGGUGAAAGGGGGGGAUCGCAAGGCCUCUCGCUAUUGGAGCGGCCGAUGUCAGAUUAGGUAGUUGGUGGGGUAAAGGCCUACCAAGCCGACGAUCUGUAGCUGGUCUGAGAGGACGACCAGCCACACUGGGACUGAGACACGGCCCAGACUCCUACGGGAGGCAGCAGUGGGGAAUUUUGGACAAUGGGCGCAAGCCUGAUCCAGCCAUGCCGCGUGCGGGAAGAAGGCCUUCGGGUUGUAAACCGCUUUUGUCAGGGAAGAAAUCUUCUGAGUUAAUACCUCGGGAGGAUGACGGUACCUGAAGAAUAAGCACCGGCUAACUACGUGCCAGCAGCCGCGGUAAUAC